rnacentral:rRNA from 1 species
AUUGAACGCUGGCGGCAUGCUUUACACAUGCAAGUCGAACGGUAACAGGGUGCUUGCACCGCUGACGAGUGGCGAACGGGUGAGUAAUGCGUCGGAGCGUGCCGAGUAGUGGGGGAUAACGCAGCGAAAGUUGUGCUAAUACCGCAUACGUACUGAGGUAGAAAGUGGGGGACCUUCGGGCCUCACGCUAUUCGAGCGGCCGACGUCCGAUUAGCUAGUAGGUGAGGUAAAGGCUCACCUAGGCGACGAUCAGUAGCGGGUCUGAGGGGAUGAUCCGCCACACUGGGACUGAGAAACGGCCCAGACUCCUACGGGAGGCAGCAGUGGGGAAUUUUGGACAAUGGGCGAAAGCCUGAUCCAGCCAUGCCGCGUGUGUGAAGAAGGCCUUUUGGUUGUAAAGCACUUUAAGCGAGGAGGAGGCUACUUAGAUUAAUACUCUAGGAUAGUGGACGUUACUCGCAGAAUAAGCACCGGCUAACUCUGUGCCAGCAGCCGCCGUAA